rnacentral:rRNA from 1 species
UACGUAGGGUGCGAGCGUUAAUCGGAAUUACUGGGCGUAAAGCGUGCGCAGGCGGUUUGAUAAGACAGGCGUGAAAUCCCCGGGCUCAACCUGGGAAUGGCGCUUGUGACUGUCAGGCUAGAGUGCGUCAGAGGGGGGUAGAAUUCCACGUGUAGCAGUGAAAUGCGUAGAGAUGUGGAGGAAUACCGAUGGCGAAGGCAGCCCCCUGGGACGUGACUGACGCUCAUGCACGAAAGCGUGGGGAGCAAAC